rnacentral:lncRNA from 7 species
UUAUGUGCUUAUCAGAGGGCGGGGAAAAGGGAGGGAACAAGUGAAGGGCUGCGGUAUUUAUAGCUGGUUUAGAGGGCAUCCUGGUACUUUGUUUCUUCGUUCGUGGUGUGGGUCUACAACUCUACAUGUUGCAGUCAUAUACAGUAUAGUGCUAAGUGAUAAUGCGUGCCUUUUGUAGAUUUGCAAGAUUUGUUUUCCAGAUACCAGAGUCUCUAGCCCAUAUGAAUGAAAUUGGACGGAACUAUAUGCAACGUUGUGGGUACAGCCGCACCCACGCAAAAUUU